UUCUGACCGUAAACGAUGCCAACUAGCGAUCCGCCGGCGGAUUCCAAACGCCCUGGUGGGGAGCUUCCCGGAAACGAAAGUCUUCCGGUUCCGGGGGAAGUAUGGUUGCAAAGCUGAAACUUAAAGGAAUUGACGGAAGGGCACCACCAGGAGUGGAGCCUGCGGCUUAAUUUGACUCAACACGGGAAAACUCACCCGGCCCGGACACCGCGAGGAUUGACAGAUUGAUAGCUCUUUCAUGAUUCGGUGGAUGGUGGUGCAUGGCCGUUCUUAGUUCGUGGAGCGAUUUGUCUGGUUUAUUCCGAUAACGAGCGAGACUCUAGCCUACUAACUAGUCCGCAUGUUCGCUUGUUGCAUGCUUGGGACUUCUUAGAGGGAUUUUCGGCGUUUCAGCCGCACGAAACUGAGCAAUAACAGGUCUGUGAUGCCCUUAGAUGUCCGGGGCUGCACGCGCGCUACACUGGCGAAAUCAGCGUGCCUGUCCUCUCGCGAAAGCGACUGGUAAACCGGUGAAAAUUCGCCGUGAUUGGGAUCGGAAAUUGCAAUUAUUUUCCGUGAACGAGGAAUUCCAAGUAAGUGCGAGUCAUCAACUCGCGUUG
rnacentral:rRNA from 1 species